AUGACACUGAUGAUGAAGAUGUUUUUGAAAUACUAGAGGAUCAUUUUGGUGCUUUUAACAUGAAUAACUGGAUUGGUAAAGGAGAAUCAAAUAAGCAUGGUUAUGAUGAAAAACCUAAUGAGAAUGCUUCUCAGUUUUAUAGAUUGUUGAAUGAUGCAGAAAAAGAGCUUUAUCCUAGGUGUAAAAAAUAUUCUAAGUUGUCUUUCAUUAUGAAGUUGUUUCAUCUAAAGUCUUUUGGAAGUUAGAGUAAUAAAUCAUUUACUUUACUAUCGCUUGGAAAACACUUGAUGAAUCAUAUAGUAUGGCAUUUGAAUGGACGAGUGUAUGAUGGAGUUCUUAGGUAUCCUACUGACACUAUUGCUUGGAAAACACUUGAUGAAUCAUAUAGUUUAUUUGCUUUAGAGCCUCGAAAUGUUCAACUUGGAUUGGUUAGUGAUGGAUUUAAUCCAUUUGGAAAUAUGAGUAUAUCUUAUAGUGUCUGGCCUAUUUUGUUACUAAAAAGUGGGAAGAGCUCUAAGAAAGAGAACUCCCAUUCGAUGCGAGAUGGCCUGUCAUUCUUAUCACAUAUAAUUUGCCACCAUGGAUGUGUAUGAAAGAGCCUUAUUUCAUGUUAUCAUUACUCAUUCCUGGACCUAAAGGCCCUGGUAUUAUAUUGACAUCUUUUUACAACCGUUAAUUGAUGAACUGAAGUUCUUAUGGGAUGUAGAGGUUGAAACUUAUGAUGCUUCACUAAAACAAAAUUUUAACAUGCGUGUUGCAUUAUUAUGGACAGUUAAUGAUUUUUUAGCAUAUGAAAACUUAUCUGGUUGGAAUAUAAAAGGGACUUUAGCUUGUCAUUCUGUAAUUUUGAUACUCGAUCACUUUAUUUAAAAAAUAGUGGAAAGAUGUGCUACAUCGGUCAUCGUCGUUUCUUACCCAUAAAACAUGAAUGGAGACUACAAUGAGAGUUGUUUGAUGGGUUUAUUGAAGAAAACCUACCUCCUAAGAAUUUGUCUGGAAGUGAUAUACUUGAACAAGUGAACCAAUUUGGAGAACAUGUAUUUGGCAAUAGUGUGAAAAAGAGAAAAUGUUCUAAAGAUUGGCUAAAGAAAAACAUAUUCUUUGAGCUACCUUAUUGGAGCACUUUAUUACUACGACACAAUUUAGAUAUCAUGCAUAUUGAAAAAAAUGUUUGUAAAAACGUAAUCAGUACAUUAUUGAAUUUUAAAGGGAGGACUAAAGAUAAUUUGAAGUCUUGUCUUGAUCUUGAAGAAAUGGAUAUAAGAAAGGAAUUGCAUCCAAUACAAGAAAACAAAUUAUACUUACCAGCUUCAUGUUGUACAUUGUCAUCAGAUGAAAGAAAUGCAUUUUGUGAGUAGUUGAAGAAAUUAAAAGUUCCAAAUGGAUUCUCUUCUAUUGUUGGAAGGUGUGUCGAUCUAAAAGGGAGAAAAUUAUUUGGUUUUAAAAGUCAUGACUAUCAUAUUAUUAUGGAAUAUUUGCUUCCAUAUGCACUUCAAGGGUUGAUGAGAAAGGAAGUUCGAGAUGUAUUGAUUAAAUUGAGCAAUUUUUUUAAGAUCUUGUGCUCAAAAGUGGUUAAAGUAGACGAUAUAAAUCUUCUUAAAGUUGAAAUAGCAAAACUUCUCUGUAAAAUGGAAAUGAUGUUUCCUCCGUCAUUCUUUGAUAUAAUGGUGCAUUUAUUAAUCCAUUUACCGAAUGAGGUUAGAGUUGGUGGACCAAUUCUGUAUAGGUGGAUGUACCCAUUUGAAAUGUAUUUAAGUAAGUAAGUUAAAAGCUUAUGUACGCAAUCGAGAUCAUCCUGAAGGUUCUAUUGCAGAAGGUUAUAUCAGCAAUGAAUGUGUAAUGUUCUACACUAGAUAUUUUCACACUAUAGAAGCUAAGUUCAACUAAAAGAGAAGAAAUAGAGAUAAUGAUCAUAAUCCUUAUGAAGGAAUAUCUAUCUUUAAACCAAUUGGUCGUCCUAUGGGACCAGUCAAAUAAACAAGAAGGCUAACGAUACAAGAGUGGAGACAAGCUCAUCUCUAUAUUUUAAAGAACUGUGAUGAUGGUCUCCUAUAUAUUAGUGAGCACAUACAAGGAUUACAACAUCUUGACCCCAGAAAUGCACAAAAAAAAACAUGAUAAAGAGUUUGUAAAAUGGUUUAAAGAUCAUGUUACUAAAUUAUAUAUCGAUGGAAGCAAGAAAGUUGAAAAACAAUUAUUAGAUUUAUCUCGAGGUUCGUCACAAGAAGAAACAUGCUACAAAUGGUACAUUGUUAAUGGAUUUAGAUUUCGUAUCAAGGAUGAUGAUGAUUUAAGAAAAACACAAAAUAGUGGGAUAGUAGUGAGAGGAACUGAUGAUCAAGAGUACUUUGGUGUAUUGCAUGACACUGCGCGCUAAAACAAAACGGGAAGCCCCUUUCGAUUAUUGAAUUGUAAUAUAUGGGUGGAAACAAUGUCGUUUUGUUUAAAUGCAAAUGGCGGAAUAUCAACAGUAUUGGUAAAGGAAUUAGAAUUGAUGAUCAUAGACUAACUAGUGUGAAUAUAAUGUACACAUUGGCUACAAAUGAGCCAUUUGUAUUAGCAUGCCAAUCUGAACAAGUUUUUUACCUUGAAGAUAGAAGAAAUCCGGUUUGGUAUUUUGUGUUGAAAGUUGAUCCAAGAGAUUAUUACAAUAUCCAUUUGAUCAUAGAUGAAGAUUGUCAAGAAGAAGAUGACGAAGAAGACGUAAAUUGAGCAAUUUAAUUCUUAAUUUUUUUGUCUAUCGUUUAUGUUGGGUAAUCUCUUUUUAACUUUAUAAUAUAUGAUCUCUUAUUUCUUAAACUAAUACUCAAUUUUUAUUAUGCUAUUUAUCUAACUUGUUUUUUUCCAACAAGUUCAUUAUUUGUGUAAAGGAUGAAAAAAGUAAGAAGUAGAUUCAACAACGAUAAUAAUAUAGAUAGUCACGAGAAUACUACGAUUGCAUCUACAUCUAACCAAAUAGUUGAAGAUCAACAAUCUUCAACAAAAUUUAAAGUUGGUUUAGAAGCUUCAUCAUCGAUUACGGGAGAAAUUAGAUCAACUACUAGUCAUGAAAAAAUUCUUAAUAGAGGUAACAUUUUUUUUGUAAUAUAUAUUAUUUGUUUUUUAUUUAUUAGUAACUUACUUUCUUUUCUUUCUUUUUACUUUAGAAUCUUCUUUUAUAGUAAGAAAAGUACGUGGUCUCACACGUAAUCUCAAACUAGUUAAACUACUUCAUGAGAUUAGAUUUGAUGUGUCAUGGAGGAAGAAACAACCCGUUGGAGAUAAUGUUGAUAUCUUUAAAAGCCAAUGCACUAUCUUAGUUAGACAAGUCAACUUUACUCAUUUGCAAGUAAAAAGUUUGAGAGAUAUUGAUACAACAACAAAAAGGAAACUAUUUGAGUUUACAUUGGAACGAUUUAAAGUUGAAGGUCAUGAGACUUCAGUAUUGCUUCAAAUUCACUGAUCUUAUAAUAAUUGGAGAGAUAGUUUAAAGAAAAAAUGGUUGUACAAAUAUGAUACAGUUGUAGAAGCUUUAGUAAAUAUUCCACCAGGAAUUACAAGAGACA